rnacentral:rRNA from 1 species
UACGUAGGUGGCAAGCGUUGUCCGGAAUUACUGGGUGUAAAGCGCGUGUAGGCGGCCGACCAAGUCGGCGGUGAAAGCGCCCGGCUCAACUGGGCGAGGGCCGUGGAAACUGGUCAGCUGGAGGACGGUAGAGGCGAGUGGAAUUCCCGGUGUAGUGGUGAAAUGCGUAGAGAUCGGGAGGAACACCUGUGGCGAAGGCGGCUCGCUGGGCCGGUCCUGACGCUGAGACGCGAAGGCGUGGGGAGCGAACGGG